AGAAUGGAUGUUGUUAUUCAGAAGAGUUUGAUGACGUUAUACAGAAGAGAAAAUUUGUUUACCAAAUAUCAAGUUAUUUUACAUAAAGGAACCGAAUCGCCGGAUUGAAGAUUUCUAUGCUAGCAGCGCCCUCUACGAGCAAAGGAACAUUUUACGACAACCGGUGGCAACAACAAUGUGCGCGUGCCAGAAGGCGUGCCCCUACCACCCUAUUCAAGAUGCCCUCCUGCCCCUCAUGCACGUCUUUAAGAUUUUUUUUUAUGUAGAGAAAAUGAGGAAGUGCAUAAAAAAAGAGGGGUAAAAAAAUAAGAUAGCUGUCAUCAUCUUUGUUGAAAAUGUUUAGCUGAGUUGAAAAAAAUCUGAGAACAGUUUCCAUUGAAAGAAUAUAAAAUCUGCUCUCGCAGGCGACGAAGACCUUCCUAUCGAAUUUCUCCUCUCUAUAAACAGGUUUUGAGAAAAUGGUACUACGAAAUGGAUAUUCUAUGCUACGAAGAAGUAACAAGGCUGAAAAAUGACUUUUGUGAGAUUCUUGAAAUAAGGCUUAGCAUUCAAUAUCAAAAGAAAUCCAGAAAGACUGUAAAUCCAUAUCAUUGUGAAUAAAGAAGAUUUAUUGCGA